rfam:Botryotinia fuckeliana BcDW1 unplaced genomic scaffold Scaffold_87, whole genome shotgun sequence.
AUUCUAUGGUCUUAUUGAACAAUGGCCAAAACUGUAGUAAAGCUAUGGUUAUAAAUCAUCAAAUUGCGGGAAACCCCUAAAGGAAUCUUAACCAAGUAAGUAUGGUAACAUAACUUAUGGCACAGGUAAUGACUCGUGAUACGGUAAAAUCAAGAUUUAUUAUUCAAUGGGCAAUCCGCAGCCAAGUGCCAAGUAUUUAAUAUUUGGUAUGCAGUUCAUCGACUAGACGGUGGUUGGUGUUAUUAGUAUUAGUAUUAAUAAUGCUUAAGGUAUAGUCAGCCCUCACCUGAAAAGGUGCA